AUUGAACGCUGGCGGCAUGCUUUACACAUGCAAGUCGAGCGGCAGCGCGGGGGCAACCCUGGCGGCGAGCGGCGAACGGGUGAGUAACACAUCGGAACGUAUCCCGUAGUGGGGGAUAACCCGGCGAAAGCCGGGCUAAUACCGCAUAUGCUCUACGGAGGAAAGUGGGGGACCUGCAAGGGCCUUACGCUAUGGGAGCGGCCGAUGUCCGAUUAGCUAGUUGGUGGGGUAAAGGCCUACCAAGGCGACGAUCGGUAGCUGGUCUGAGAGGAUGAUCAGCCACACUGGGACUGAGACACGGCCCAGACUCCUACGGGAGGCAGCAGUGGGGAAUUUUGGACAAUGGGGGCAACCCUGAUCCAGCCAUGCCGCGUGCGGGAAGAAGGCCUUCGGGUUGUAAACCGCUUUUAGUCGGGAAGAAAGGGUUUCCUUGAAUACGGGAGAUCUAUGACGGUACCGGCGGAAUAAGCACCGGCUAACUACGUGC
rnacentral:rRNA from 1 species